UUGCUUUUUUAAGGGCAUUGUUAGGCUACUGUUGUAAAGGCUUUUGAUCUGGCACAGUAACAUUUUGCUUUUGAUUUCUGCAUCACCUUUUUGUUGCCACAUCCUGAACUGCCUGCAGCCCUGCUGAAGUGAGCACCAACCUGUGGUGGCUUCCCCCUGACCAAAGACCACGAAAAACCAGCCAGCAGCACACCAGGCAGUUUGUAAAGGUGUCAUUUUGAGGGACCAAACCUGUAGCUACUUGUUGAAUGUCACUAAAUGCUGCUUUCUUUAGAUAGAGUGGGAGUUAACCUGAGGAAGGAGAGAAAUCAAACUACUGUGUUCUAUCCCUCUAAAAUAUUCCCUGUGAAGAGUUUCCUUACAUUUGGGAAAUCCCAUGUGUCUGAAAUACUAACUGUAGAUUAUAAGACUUCACUCAACCAAAUCAAGAGAUAUAAAUGGUAAAAAUUAAUCCAUGUUUUAAUGAAUAAAAGCAAAAUAUUCUUCAAUGUCAAGUUAAAAAAUUGCACUUAGGGAGGGUGAGGAACUAUUCCCACCCACCAAACUCAUUCCAGGUUAUCAAUAACUUGUAGUUAGGUAGCAACAGGGAAAAAAAACCCUCCAGCUAGAAAAUCAUGUUUUCUCUCUCCACAGAAGCCAUGUCAAACAGCCUUCAGGAAUGUGUCAAGCAUUGCUUGAAGGAGAAACAAGAAGCUCCCUUUAACCUUGGACUACCUAAAUUUGAAGGUUAUGAAAUAACAAUGUUGUUCUAAUGAUUAAGAACCCUCUGAUUUACAGCCUGAAAAUGUAUUUCUGAAUAGUGUCAUCUAAAAGAGUCUGCAGUUUAACAUUCCUCUCUUGGCUCAUGCUGACCCCUUUGCACCCUGAGUGACACUUGGACCUUGUUUUGCAUAAGCUGAGCCUACUCUGGGAGCUGCUCUACACUACAUUUUCAUCUGGAAAACCAUAUGGAAUUGGACUGAAGCCCCUUCUGUUCCCAAACCAUCUGAGAGGAGCCUGCUGCACUAUCCAUGGUGCAGGUGUCUUCAAGAAACUUCAAACUGCUGCCAAAAUAAACCAAGAAAUUUUCUUUCCCUUUUCUGGAAGUGACCAGGGCCGGUCAGAAACAGGGAAAAAAAGCGAGUUUUGGUUACUUAAACCCUGGUUUCCCCUAAUAGCCUGGCUUUAUGGCAGCAGUCCCUCAGAGAUGCUGCUCUCCACUUCCCUGGUUAGAAGGCCUUCGGUUAAUCCUUACCAAGGUUUGCAAGGCUCAGAGUAGCACUCCUUGCCAGGCCAUUUAUUCACUGCUUCUUUUCAGCACAAACUGCACUUGAGAACUAUUAGCCUUCUUUCCUCAUAACUAACGAUUUUUAGGUUUUAACUGUUUUAAGGUUUUAUUACUGGCACAAAUUUUCUCCAAAAAAUUUACUGAUGAACCCUCAAGCCUAAUAUUUUGUGACAUAUGUCUUCAGACUCAGCUAGAUUACUAUAGGCUGCCUAAAUUAAACGGAAUCUGAAAGAGGCUUUUUUCUAGAGAGAAGAGUUUGAGCUGGUGCCACUCAGUACAGCAGGCCUCUGACCAGGCUGGCACUGGCCACAGCUGUGCCUGCCAGAUCCCAUGAUCCAGUCCCUUCCCCCUCAGGGACACUCUGAAGGCCAAGAUGAGGGAAUGAGCAUCACCUUGGCCUGCUCUGAGCAUAAUGCAGAGAGUAGAGCAUAGCUCUACUUUAAAGUCAUCACCUGCUUUGAUUUGCUGUCUUUAAGUCAGAUGUCAUCUUCAUCUCCUAAAUUCCUUCUCAAGGUACUCGUACAAGUCAAACAAAGUGGUGGACAGGCAACUCUCUCAAUGUCACUGCAGAAAAAGGUGUAAACUGCAGAUUUUGUUUCACAGAUGGCAGGAACUGGUAUUAAGUCUUGUCUCAGAAGUUAGCUACAGGCUUCAAAGCAAAUUGCUUUUGUCAGCAGAAAUUGAUAGGUUUAAUUUUGUUUGGUACAACUAUAAAUUUCUAUAAUGAAAAAACACUCAUUAAAACUCCCAAUUGUCUGGACUCACUCAAGUUUAGACAUGUUUUGUGAAGAAUGAAAGACUACAAACAAUGAAAUAAAAAAUGAAACAGAAUGAAGUAUUUGAACUAACUUUAAAUAUGUGAAGGAAAAAAACUAGAUGGAAAUACAUUCCUAAUUAAAAAAAAAUCCACUUAAAAUUAUACAGAAGUUUGUUUUUUAACUAUCCUCAAUUACAAAUAGACCUUCAUAUUGCAAUAACUAUGUGAUAGUUGAGGAGAAAAAUAAAAAUGUGUUUCUUCUGCAGCUAUGCAUUUGCAAUGCUACUUAGAGUUCUAUUUCACAUGAGUAGUCAGUAUUUUUCACUAUUGCUUUCUUGAGUCUUUCACAAAGUAGCCAGUAAAGAAAUGUUCACUUCUCCCUAUCACAGCCCACAAGAGAGAAACUUCUAAGAAUUCAAAGCAGUUAAACAUGGUGUUUAGAAGUUGGUAAUAAUCUUAAUUAAAAAAAACCCGAACAAACUAAACUCUUCUAAGACCAUGUAAGUUCUUCCUAUAACAAUUGAAAUGCACAUAAUUACUAUUAAAAUAUAUGGAUUAGCACCUGAAAAUUUUUAAAACUCAUGAAAUCUGAAAAAUUGCAAUAAACUUGAUACUCAAAGUUUUCUUUCCUCUGAUCUCACUUAACCUGGUUUUUUCAUACAGAUCAUGGGUUUGUUCAGUCACGAUGUCUUUAAGGCCUUUCAGACAGAGGAGAGAAAAAUAAACAAGCGUGACUCCAGGCUAGUGCUUUCAUUCUCCAGAAUCCUGCUAUGACAGGGUGCAAUUUGGAAAGUCCAUUUCUUUAUGGGUUUUAUAUUGGCUUGUUUUUUUUCUAUGAACCUUGUGAUAUUUGGGCUUUAAGCUUCUUUUUUUAAUUUUUUUUUAAUUAACCUAAUAUUAGAAUCUAUACAAGUAAGACAUUUACAUAUGUAAAAUCAACCCUGUAUAGAAAUCUACGUGGUGAAGCAGCUCUCUUCAUGCUUUCUAGAGAAAAGGCACUUAAGAAAUACCAGUUGUUCUACAAUGUUUAAAAUGUUAAUGAUUAAAUGUCAGAUAUUAAUAAAGUAAGUUGGCAAACA